UUAUUGACACAUAAACUUGUAGAAAUGUUGCUUCAUGUCUGCCCAGCGGGAACAGAUUGUGUGCAGAAAUGCAAUAAUAGGGACUGCAAUUUACAGU